CACCAGCGCCUCGAGUGGGGAUCGCGAUUAUUGGGCCUAAAGCGUCCGUAGCAGGCUUUGUAGAUCCUUUGUGAAAUUGUCUGGCAUAACCAGACAGCGUGCAGAGGAGACCGCAGAGCUUGAGACCGGGAGAGGUCAGAAGUAUUCCUAGGGUACCGGUAAAAUGGGUUAAUCCUGGGAGGACUACCAAUGGCGAAGGCAUCUGACCAGAACGGUUCUGACUGUGAGGGACGAAAGCUAGGGGAGCAAAACGG
rnacentral:rRNA from 1 species